UCCGAUUGAUUCAUCUUCUAGAAUAGUACAUUUGAUCAAGAAGUCAGCUAGCACUUGGGCCUUAAUUGAUUUUUGAGGUCAAAACUGGUUGCCAAAUUUGGAGAGCUCAAUUGCCCACUUCACCAUUCAUCCAGAAGUUUUUGACUGAUGCAAAAUGUUCUUAAUGGGCUAGUCAAUUAGAAGGGCGACGGUAUGAGCUUAGAAAUAAGGUCAAAGCUUUGGAGUG
rnacentral:lncRNA from 1 species